rnacentral:misc_RNA from 1 species
ACUUACUCCUUUCUAUUUUAAAAAUUAAUUAUCGUCAUCACAACUAAUAUUAACUACUUCUUCUCGACCAACUCUAUACUAAUUACACUCUAUACGUUAUCUUCUUUAAUUACUUUUCCCCCAAUCUAAUAAUACAAACACGAAAAAAAAACAAAAAACCCAAAACACCAAAUUCUAAUUUUCACGUUAUAUCAAUUUCUUAAAAAAA